CUUUUAAUAGCAAAAUUUUGUGCAUUGAAUUUAAGCUUCAAAUAUAAUUAAUAAUUUUAAAAGA
rnacentral:tRNA from 1 species